ACUCAUAUUGAGCGUCUGGGUCUUCCUUCCGUCGGCAACAGAUUAGUGUGAUCCUUUCUCUUAAGAAGGAAAACAGUGCUUGGGAGCUACAAACAGAAGUACUAUAAUGAACAACAUUGUGUUCCAAUUCCUUCUUAAAUCCAUGCUUUCUGACAUAUUCUUGCAAUGAAUUCCAAAGGUGUUCUUAAGGUGUUCAGUCUCUAAGGUCAGCUCCAGACCUAUGAGGCUUCUGGGUCGGAAGAAAGAAACCAACCCUUCUGUCAUGAAGAGGAACGGCACUCUCUUCUGCUUCAGAUUUUCCUGUCAUGGAUUUUCCUUUUUCAUAUUUAGAAAAAAGCCAUUUUCACUUCUUACAGAGUAGUCCUGCAUAACCUGUCUAACAGUGCAAAGGAAAUAUAUGUGUAUGAGAAAAUGCAUACCCUCUCUCUCUUCAAAUAAAUACAAAGUAUACGUCAUAGCUGCACUAGUACUCCAACAUAAAACCAUGGGAUAUUUAGUUUUUCAACACUUAUUUCUUUUUAGAUGAAUUCGUCACUAGGAAUCUUGACUAAGUAAGAAAUGCGAUACUGAAGGAGAGGAUUAAGUCAAAAUGUGUUUGAAAAUGAAUGUAGAAGUAGAUGUGAGAGUUGUUCUUAGGGACCCUCAUCUAGAUCACAUCUGGGUUUUUAAACAGUGUGACCUCUUGAUAACCACCUUUUACUUCACUGCUAGUAUGAUAUUGUAUGUUUAUACAGGGGAUCAUUAACAGUACAGCUGCAAUGUAAUUGAAUGCAGAAUUCAAUAACAACAUUGAAGUUAAAAUACCAUAGGAAUAUAAAAUUCCUUUUCUAUCUUUCUCAGCCUAAUUGGGGGCUUUUCGCUAUUCUCUCUUUCUCUCUCUAUCUCUUUCUCUCUCUAUCUCUCUUUCUCUCUCUUUUUCUUUCUUUCUCUUUCUCUCUCUAUCUCUCUUUCUUUCUCUCUCUAUCUCUCUUUCUCUCUCUAUCUCUCUCUUUCUUUCUUUCUUUCUUUUCAGUAGUCUACUAUUUCACUUAGCCUAAUGGCAGGGAAGAGGGGCAGCAGAAAAGGUUUAUUUUGAUAGCAGUCUUGUUCACAUGGAAGAAGAUUGCAUUACAUGCAGCUCCAUCCCCAGAUAAGAAAGUGCUCAAAGAAACAGCAGCAGACCCCAAUUAUAAUGAGCUUCCAGCCUUCAAUCUAAAAUGGAGUGGGACUGUUUAUUUAAGGUGAGGGCUUUUUUGUAAAUGAGUCAUGUUAGGGGAAUGAUGCCCAAUUAACUAAUUGCUCUGAAAGGAACCUGAACCCUCUCAUAAAAGGAAGAGGUCACUUUGGAAAUUCGUGCCUUUUCCUGUUAUGAUCAUCCUAAUUAGCUUGUGAUAAAACUGAGAAGUGAGGUGGGGAGUAGAAGUGAAAGAUUUUUGUUCUUGAUGAACUCAUGUGGGAAAUAAAGAAGCACUAGGGACAUGAUUAGUUGGAACAUGUCAAAUGUUUGAACCCAAGGUGUGUCUGCUUUUAUUUCAUAUAAGUGUCAUGAUUUGGGCAGGUAUUUUAAUGGAAAUAUACCAAAUAUAUCCAGGAUCCUCUGUGUGGACUGGAGACUUAACAAUUGAUUUUCAUUAACAAUUAUUUUAAACAAUAUUACAAAAGAUUAUUCUUUAGUUCAUUGUAUGUAUCCCCAAGAUAGCUAUUGAGGGAAAGAAAGCCAUAAUUCCAAGAUUGUCAGGUGGCUUAAUCAUUCAUUUCAUUUGUUUGGGUUUUAUGAAAAAAAGCCUAUCUAUAAAUUUGAUUAUUACAUUCCAUAUAAAUUAUGAUUGUUUUCUAAACCCUGGCCAUUGCAAAUAGUACACAUACAUGCCAGUUCCAGUAGCUUGGAAAUAUGGCUAAAAAUGGCCAUAUUUGGUUGGACAAUCAAAAAAAAAAAAAACAAGAACACUGUUCAUAAAGGAAGAUAACUGUUAACAAUGAACUGAGAGCUAAGAAGUUUUACCAGGGAGAAAGCAAGAGGAGCUACAAAGUGCUUUCAGCUGUUGUUGAAAUAUACAAGAGUUAGGUGGUUUAAGCACAUCAAAGGAGGUAUAAGGUUAUGAUUGCAAGGUUCUGGUGGUCCCAUUUCACAACAGUAGUAUCACUCUUCGUAGUGUCGUGUGAUGACCCUGAUGAUCAAAUGCUGAAAUUUCGUCCUAGUGCUUAUGCACAAGUUUGAAAGCCAAGACAGGCAAAUAGGUUAGUACAAAAAAAUCAUAUGCAGGUCCAUGACCUCAGAAAAUUUGCUAACUAGUGUGUUCACUUCAACAGAUUUUUUAAAGCUUUAAUUUAUAUUACAAAAAUGUUUCUUUCCCUUGUUUUUUAAAGCAUAUCAAUAUCUUCAAGUGUUGUGGGAAUAAAUAUAUAUAAAUAAUAAAUUUAUGAUAAAUAUGGACAUAAUGCUAUAGAUUUUUUUUUUUUUUUUGGUGUUGUAUCAUUUUUGAAGUUCAGCUGCGUUCUAUCUUUUGAGAGAAUAGUGCUAAAAAUAUGGUCGGCAGGACUCUGAGCAGGAUAGACUGACUGCAACAUUACCAUGGAAGAUUUUUCUCUGCAUCUUCAACUCAGCAAUGCUUUGCAAUAAAAGACUCAGGCAUAAUUUCACAGAAGUAUGAAAAAGUGCUUUCCCUUAUAAUGAAGCUUACUUUUAAGCCUUUUACUCUUAUCCUUCCAACCAACUUUGGAAAAGCCAACAUAGUAUGUUUAACAGCUAAUAAGGGGCCUUGACCUGAAAUACGAGAACAGAAGAAGAAGUUUUGGGUCAACAGGAAGGUGAUUAGAAGGAACUGAAAGACAAGGUAACCCUGUCACCCUCUCCCUCCCUUGUAAUAGUAGAAGAAUGAUAAUUUUUCUGAUUCUUUCAGUAUCAGCAGCUCCUUCAUCACCACCCUGUGACUCUAUCAUCCUCCUUUCAUCCUUAAUCCUGUUUUCUGCUUCUAGAUAAUUUAAAAAGGGAAACAAGAAGCAUUCUCUCCAGCUUCAUUAAUUACAUGGGAGGAUAGGCAAAUAUGACUCAGAUCUUUGCUACUUAAAAAUCAGUAAAUCACUCUGUCUGGAUCCUAAAACUGUGCUAGUAACUUUGUAUAUACAAUCCAUAUUAAACUGUAAUUAUUAGAGCUAUGAAAAACUCAGCUGUACCUUUUUCACAAACUGGCAACGUAUGUAAUCUGAUUUUCAUUUAUGUAUGCUGUAUAUUCCCCAAAUUGUUGUGUCAUUAGUAUGAACAGAGAUAGUGUCUCAAAGCAAAACUCUAUCAAGAAAAUGUGUAAACUUGCCUAGCAACAGCCACAGUGCAUCUGAUGAACAGCCCAUCAUAGCUCCAAGUGUAACUAUGAUUUAAGCAGCAUUUACAUCGAAAAAAAAAUAGCACCACUAAAAAUAGAUUAUUCUAGGUUCAAUUUAAUCACUGAGCCCUUAACUGAUUUAUAGAUUUGAGAUUUCAUUAUUACACAAUUCCUCUGGAAUGGAAUUACAGAAACUGGGAAGUCUUGUCAGAGGAAUAAAAAGAAAUUAAUAAGCAGGCAACAACAAAACUAAAGGUAUUCUGUUUCUUCUGUCCACUCUAUGCUUACCAGUGUUAGAAUUGUUAAUCUGCACCACAAGAUAUGUUUGUGAAUCAGAAGGAAUUUAAAACUUGUUAGUCAGGACCAAGUAGAAAUCUGUUUUUCUGAUUAUCUGUUUUUCCAGAGUAUCUUCAGAGUGUCAUUUUACCUUCAGUAUUCAGUACUUCGGAGUUAAUGGGCAGCCCAUACUAAUUCUGUAAUGCAUAGCCAGGAGCAAACAGGCCCCACCUAGGGCAGUUUCUCCUAUUGGAAAAUAAUAGGAAUAUGCAGAUUUGUCCUUCUUUAAUCAAUGGGCAUGAGGGAUAUUAGACACUUGCUAAUGACAUAACUGAAACAUGGAAUAGUCAAUGGCCCAUUAAAUGCUAAAUACAACCAUUUAAUGUCUGUGCAUUUUUAAUCGUAAUUAGUACGUGCUAAUGUGUCUGAAUAUUCAUUGCCCAAAAGUAUGUUAUAAGAUCUUAUUGUUAAUGUCUAGAACCGAUACAACUUUAACUCAGAAAUAUCAGACUUGUAUAUGUCUCUGGAAUAAAAUGUCUUCUAUGCUACUUUUACAACAAGUAACAAAAGUCUCCAGGAGCAAAAGCCAAUCAUUGGCAGUGAUAAAUAAAUAAAUAGAACUACAUAGGGUCAUAGGGUUCAAAAAAAAAAAAAAAGUUCUUUCUUUACACCUCGAAAGUUAUUUCAUGAA